rnacentral:rRNA from 1 species
ACUUAAAUUGAAGAGUUUGAUCAUGGCUCAGAUUGAACGCUGGCGGCAGGCCUAACACAUGCAAGUCGAGCGGCAGCGGGAAAGUAGCUUGCUACU